rnacentral:rRNA from 1 species
CCUACGGGUGGCAGCAGUGGGGAAUAUUGGGCAAUGGGCGAAAGCCUGACCCAGCAACGCCGCGUGAAGGAAGAAGGCUUUCGGGUUGUAAACUUCUUUUGACAGGGAAGAGCAGAAGACGGUACCUGUCGAAUAAGCCACGGCUAACUACGUGCCAGCAGCCGCGGUAAUACGUAGGUGGCAAGUGUUGUCCGGAUUUACUGGGUGUAAAGGGCGUGUAGCCGGGCUGACAAGUCAGGUGUGAAAUCCGGGGGCUCAAACCCCGACCAGCAUUUGAAACUGUUGGUCUUGAGUGUCGGAGAGGCAGGCGGAAUUCCUAGUGUAGCGGUGAAAUGCGUAGAUAUUAGGAGGAACACCAGUGGCGAAGGCGGCAUGCUGGACGACAACUGACGGUGAGGCGCGAAAGCGUGGGGAGCAAACAGGAUUAGAUACCCGAGUAGUC